UUUACAAUUUGCAUCUCUUUUUAUCAUCCCUCUAUCAUCCUCUUCCUCCUCGUUUCUCCCCCAUAUUCGGUCACAAUUUCUCGAAAUUACCGUUCGGUUGUCCACCGCCUUGCACAGUUACGCUUCAAUUGAUAUCAAAUUUGCAAGCUUUUUUGUAUUGGCGAACGAGGGUUUCUGAUUGAGCUGAAUUGGCCAGGUUUCGAUUUUGAUUUUCGUCUCCGGAGGAGUUAGGGUUUUCCGAAGUUUCUGAUUGUGACAUGGUGGAAACUUGGGGAUCGGGAUACAGUCUGAUCGCCGAUUGAUCGGCGACUCGAUUCUUCUGUUUUGUAGGGCUCUUGUAUGGAAACUCGGAGCCGCAAGCGGGCGGAGGCAUCCACCUCAGCAGCGGUAUCUGGCACACCUACUCGCGCCAACAAACGCACUCGCCUUUCCGCCGCCACCACCACCACCGCUGCUACCCCUACGGCAAACACCACCCCUUCGAUCUCCACUCGCUCUCGCACCGGCGCUCGAUCCAAUUCCAUGGACCGCAACCAGGAACCCUCAGCCGCCGCCUCUGCUUCCACCACCCGCAGCCGCCGUGGCAAAAACCCUAGUGUGAACCAGAACUCUGAUAGUAAUACCAACAAUAGGGAUAGUAAUAAUUCGGAUAAGGGUAAAGAGAAAGAGCCCGAAAUCAGGAAUAGAGAAACAGAGAGGAACUUAGGGCUGAACAUUGAUUCGCACGAAGGAGAGGACGAUGAUAACGACAGUGAGGGUGGAGUUGGAAUGUUGCACCAUAAUUUGACAACUGCUAGUAGUGCUCUUCAGGGUUUGUUGAGAAAGCUGGGUGCUGGAUUGGAUGAUUUGCUCCCAAGCUCGGCCAUGGGUGCGGCUUCAUCUUCUCAUCAAAGUGGCCGUCUGAAAAAGAUUUUGUCCGGUUUGAGGGCAGAUGGUGAGGAAGGGAAGCAAGUCGAGGCAUUAACACAGCUUUGUGAGAUGCUUUCUAUUGGGACGGAGGACUCUUUGAGUACAUUUUCAGUGGAUUCUUUUGUUCCGGUGCUGGUGGGAUUACUUAAUCAUGAGAAUAAUCCCGAUAUCAUGCUUUUUGCUGCUAGGGCGCUGACACACUUGGUUGAUGUAUUGCCCUCCUCUUGUGCUGCAGUGGUGCAUUAUGGUGCCGUCUCUUGCUUUGUUGCAAGGCUACUUACUAUAGAGUACAUGGACUUGGCUGAACAGUCACUGCAAGCCCUGAAGAAGAUAUCUCAGGAACACCCAACUGCUUGCUUGCGGGCUGGUGCACUUAUGGCGGUGCUUUCAUAUCUCGACUUCUUCUCCACCGGUGUUCAGAGAGUGGCCUUAGCGACUGCUGCGAAUAUGUGUAAGAAACUACCUACAGAUGCAUCUGAUUUUGUAAUGGAAGCUGUUCCUUUGUUGACCAAUCUCCUGCAGUAUCACGAUUCCAAGGUCUUAGAAUCUGCAUCUAUUUGCUUGACGCGGAUCACCGAAGCUUUUGCUUCAUCACCAGAGAAACUCGAUGAGCUCUGUAACCAUGGUCUAGUCACACAAGCUGCUGCCCUGAUCUCAUCAAGCAAUUCUGGAGGUGGACAGGCUUUACUGAGCACUUCUACCUACACGGGUUUGAUCCGGCUUCUUUCCACAUGUGCAAAUGGCUCUCCUUUAGGAGCAAAGUCCCUUCUCCUCCUUGGAAUCAGUGGCAUACUGAAAGAAAUAUUAUCAGGGUCUGGUCUUGUGUCAAGCAUGUCUGUUUCACCUGCUUUAAGUAAACCCCCAGAGCAGAUUUUUGAGAUUGUGAACCUGGCAAAUGAGCUUCUUCCACCGCUUCCACAAGGAACAAUCUCUCUUCCAGCCAGCAGUACUUUGUCUAUCAGAGGUUCACUAUCUGCUAAGAAGGGUCAUGCAGGCAGCUCCAGCAAGCAAGAAAGUUCAAAUGGGAAUAUACAAGAAGUAUCAGCUCGUGAGAAAUUGUUAAAUGAUCAGCCUGAACUUCUGCAGCAAUUUGGGCUGGAUCUUCUUCCUGUUCUUAUCCAGAUCUAUGGCUCCAGUGUGAAUGGUGCUGUUCGUCACAAGUGUCUUUCAGUUAUAGGAAAACUCAUGCACUUCAGCUCUGCAGAAAGAAUCCAAUCUUUAAUAAAUGGCACAAACAUCUCAAGUUUCUUAGCUGGGGUUUUAGCUUGGAAAGAUCCUCAAGUUCUGUUGCCAGCCCUUCAAAUAGCAGAAAUUUUGAUGGAAAAGCUUCCUGGUACUUUCUCGAAGAUGUUUGUAAGGGAGGGUGUUGUUCACGCCGUGGAAACUUUGAUACUAACUGGAUCUACUAGUAGCAAUGAGAAGGAUAAUGAUUCUAUUACUGGAUCGUCAUCACGGUCGAGACGUAAUCGCCGGCGAGGCGGUAAUUCUAGUUCUGAUGCGAAUCCUGCUGAGGACUCUAGAAACCCAAUUCCAAGUAUUGAAACCCCGGCAGUCAAUUCUAGUCUACGGGUGGCCGUUGGUGCAUGUGCAAAAACGUUUAAAGAGAAGUAUUUCCCCUCAGAUCCUGAGGCCACUGGAACUAGCGCUACAGAUGAUCUAGUCCGGUUAAAGAACCUAUGCAUGAAGUUGAACGCGGGGAUUGAUGAUCACAAAACCAAGUCAAAGGGAAAAUCAAAAGCUUCUGGCCCUCGGUUUACUGAUUUUUCAUCGAGUAAAGAAGAACACUUAGUGGAGGUGAUAACAGAGAUGCUCCAGGAGCUUAGCAGAGGGGAUGGGGUGUCAACUUUUGAGUUUAUCGGUAGUGGAGUUGUUUCUUCUUUGCUUAACUAUUUCACUUGUGGUUAUUUUUCAAAGGAGAAAAUGUCUGAAGCUAAUCUCCCUAAGCUUCGACAGCAAGCCAGCAGAAGAUACAGAUCUUUUGUGUCUGUUGCCCUUCCUUCAAGUGUUGAUGAAGGGAGUCUAGUACCCAUGAGCAUUUUGGUUGAAAAACUUCAAAAUGCUCUAUCCUCGUUGGAGCGGUUUCCUGUUAUGCUAAGCCACGGUUCAAGAACUUCUGGUAGUAAUUCCCGUCUUUCCUCUGGUCUAAGUGCCCUUUCUAAUCCAUUCAAGCUCCGCCUUUGCCGAGCGCAGGGAGAAAAAUCUCUUCGCGAUUACUCUUCAAAUGUUGUAUUGAUUGAUCCGUUGGCUAGUUUGGCCGCGGUUGAGGAUUUCCUUUGGCCAAGGGUUCAACGAAGUGAGUCGGGUCAAAUGCCUUCAGUAUCUGCUGGGAACUCUGAGUCUGGUGCCACUCCUGUAGGAACAGGUGUUUCGUCACCCUCUGCUUCUACCCCUGCUACUAGACGUCAUUCAACACGUUCCAGAUCUUCUUUAAAUAUAGGUGAUUCAGGUAAAAAAGAUUCUCCGGUGGAGAAAAACUCAAGCUCAGGAAAGGCCAAGGGAAAAGCAGUAUUGAAGCCUAGCCAGGAAGAGGCAAGGGGACCCCAGACUAGAAAUGCAUCCCGCAGAAGAGCAGCUCUCGACGAGGACAACGAAAUGAAGCCAGUGGAAGAGGACACCAGCUCUGAGGAUGAAGAGUUGGAUAUGUCACAUGUAGAAAUUGAUGAUGCUUUAGUGAUUGAAGAUGAUGAUAUAUCAGAUGAUGAUGAUGAUGAAGAUGACGAGGACGAGGACGACGACGAGGACGACGAUGACAAUGAUGAUGUUCUUGAAGAUGAUAGUCUUCCCGUUUGCAUGUCAAGCAUGGUGCACGAUGUUAAGUUAGGCGAUUCUGUAGAAGAACCUCCUAUCCCUGCCCCCAGUGACACGAAUAACAAUCCAGUAUGUAGUUCUAGCAGCAAAGGUUCUGCUGAGUUUCGUAGUGGCAGUUCCUUUGGUUCGAAGGGUGCAAUGUCCUUUGCAGCUGCUGCGAUGGCUGGGCUUGCAUCUGGAAAUAAUAGAGGUGUAAGGGAAGACAGAGAUCGGAGGGGGCGUCCCUUAUCAGUCUAUAAGGAUUCACCAAGACUAAUUUUUACCUCAGCAGGAAGGCAGCUUAAUAGACACUUGACUAUUUAUCAGGCAAUCCAAAGGCAGCUUGUUGUGGAUGAGGAUGAAGAUGAUCAGUUCGCUGGCAGCGAUCUUGUAGCUAGUGAUGGAAGCAGGCUUUGGUCUGAUAUCUACACUAUGACAUAUCAGAGAGCAGAUGGUCAAGGUGAGAGGUCUCCACUUGGGACUGUAAGCUCAACAACUCCAUCCAAGUCUGCAAAAUCUGGUUCUCCGAGUAAUUCUGCCUCUGAUACAUCGGCUCAUUAUGUAUCACUGCUAGAUAGCAUAUUGCAAGGGGAACUCCCAUGUGAUAUGGAAAGGAGUAACCCCACAUAUAAUAUAUUAGCACUAUUACGUGUAUUGGAGGGGCUGAAUCAGCUUGCACCACGUUUGCGAGUCGAGCAAGUGACCGACAAGUUUUCCGAGGGAAAAGUUUCGAGUUUGGAUGAACUCACUAUCACUGGAGUCAAAGUUCCUUCAGAGGAUUUUAUUAAUGGAAAGCUUACACCAAAACUGGCUCGACAGAUUCAGGAUGCUCUUGCACUUUGCAGUGGAGCUCUUCCUUCAUGGUGCUACCAGCUUACUAAAGCUUGCCCAUUUCUGUUUCCUUUUGAAACCAGGCGCCAGUACUUCUAUUCAACUGCUUUUGGAUUGUCGCGUGCAUUAAAUCGGCUCCAGCAGCAGCAAGGUGCCGAUGGUCAUGGAUCGUUAGGUGAAAGAGAGGUGAGGGUUGGCAGAUUACAACGCCAGAAAGUUCGUGUUUCGAGGAACCGGAUAUUAGACUCAGCUGCAAAAGUUAUGGAGAUGUACUCUAGCCAGAAAGCUGUUCUUGAAGUUGAAUAUUUUGGUGAGGUUGGGUCUGGUUUGGGGCCCACUCUGGAGUUCUACACUCUUUUAAGUCACGAGCUUCAGAAAGUUGGAUUGGGAACAUGGAGGUCAAGUUCGUCAUUUGGUAGACCCUCCAUGGAAAUUGAGGUCGAUAACUCUGCAUCUGCUGGUGGUAAAGAUAUUAUUCAUGCGCCUCUUGGGUUGUUUCCUUGUCCAUGGCCCCCCAAUGCUGAUACUAGUGCUGCAAGUCAAUUCUCCAAGGCUAUUGAGUAUUACCGCUUACUUGGACGAGUUAUGGCUAAAGCUCUGCAAGACGGGAGGCUUCUUGAUUUGCCGCUGUCAUCUGCCUUUUAUAAGCUUGUCCUUGGUCAUGAGCUGGAUUUGCAUGAUAUAAUUUCUUUUGAUGCGGAACUUGGGACUACUUUGCAAGAACUGCAAGCGCUUGUGUUUCGAAAACAAUAUUUGGAAUCUGUAGGAAGCUACAAUCCGGAAGAGCUACGGUUUCGCGGAGCUUCCAUUGAAGAUCUUUGUUUAGAUUUCUCUCUUCCUGGGUACCCCGAUUAUAUAUUAAAACCAGGCGAUGAAAAUGUGGAUAUGAGUAGUUUGGGAGAUUAUGUUUCGCUUGUGGUUGAUGCCACUGUAGGGACUGGGAUCAUGCGACAAAUGGAAGCAUUUAGAUCUGGGUUUAAUCAGGUGUUUGACAUCUCAACUCUACAAAUAUUUUCUCCAAAUGAGUUGGAUUAUCUGCUAUGUGGUCGCAGAGAACUGUGGAAGGCUGAGUCGCUUGCUGACCACAUUAAAUUCGAUCAUGGAUAUACAUCCAAAAGUCCUGCUAUUGUCUAUCUUCUUGAGAUUAUGGGUGAAUUUACCCCUGACCAGCAGCGGUCGUUCUGUCAGUUUGUUACUGGUGCUCCUCGUCUUCCUUCAGGUGGUCUAGCCGCACUGAAUCCCAAGUUGACUAUUGUUAGAAAGCAUUCGUCAAACACGAGCAACCAUGCAAAUAAUGGCACUGGUGCAUCAGAAUCUGCCGAUGAGGACUUGCCUAGUGUGAUGACAUGUGCUAAUUACUUGAAGCUUCCACCUUAUUCCUCCAAGGAAGUCAUGUACAAGAAACUACUCUAUGCCAUUAGCGAAGGACAAGGAUCGUUUGAUUUGUCAUGAAUUGUUCCUGCCUAUCCAGCUGGACUUUCAAAGAACAUUGUUAUUACUAAAAAGUUGAUGGUAUGAUGGUUGAAGGUGGCAAAUUUUAGAUGAUUAAUAAGGGUGCAAAGCCCAUUAGUGCGCUUUUUAACUGCUGAUAUAGUUAAGGUCGAUGAAACAUUGGAUUUAGAGCACCGACGGGGAAGGGGAAAUAUGAACUACUGCCUUGAGGGACUUGGCUUGUAAAUAAAAAAAAUAUAAUCGUUUUUAUUUUAUUUUUACAAAUAGUUCCCUCUUUCUCAAUUUAUUCAUCUGUAGGGUUCUGUUCUGUGUAGACAAGUCACCUGUAUGUUGCUUGUUCUAUAUUUGUUUUUUUGCUGGUGACUUUUUUCCGUUAUACUUAUACAUUUUAAUAAUGAUAAUGAAACAUUGAUUCAUGCUGUUUUGUUU